rnacentral:tRNA from 1 species
GAGGUAUUAUUAUAUAUUUUAGUAUUAUUCUUUUUCGAAGAGUAGGAUUAUUACCUUA